GCUUGUAGCUAUAGCCAUUAGUCACCCAUGAAGAACAGUGUCUAACAUUUAUUGGGCAACCAUUUCAAGGACUCUUGGUAGUGUACACCUCCCCCAUCCCUCUGAAAAUUAAAUGAAUUUGGAAUGCAUUUCUACCUUAAAGAACUAUCGCAUUAGCUAAUUGUAUUGGCUUUGACUAAGAGCUGGAUCGACGAUAGACCAUGAACCGACCUCAUAUCUGUAAUGUGCCUACUUUGCCCGGGACCCAAUAAACCAAAAUUAAAACCAAAGACAAUGUUAAUAGCCCAAAGUCCAUUUACAUUAAAAGCCCAAACAGCCCAAAUUACAUUUAACCUAUUGUAUAAACAAAACCUAAAUCUCUAACCCAAUUCUUGAUGGCCCGAUAGGCCCAAUGCCCAAACCAAUUUCAACAAACUUGGAAACCUUAGUUUCCCCUAGCGCCGCACCCCCCACGUACCUCGUCGGCAAGUCCAACGCCCGAGGCUCGACUCUUUUUAUCCCUUUGCACCAAAACGGUGGCCCCACUCACUGACCUCCCUCUUCAACUUGCAAACAGACCAAAAAAGGAACAAAAAUAACGCAGCACGCAAGGGCAACAGAGACGAACAAAUAUAUAUUUGGCUAUAUAGCCACAAGAACUAAAAAUGUAAAUUUUUCAUAGGCAUAUUCAGCAAUCAAAAGCAAAAACAGAAGAAAAAGGUUGAUUUUGGGAUUUUCUUUUCUUGUUUUUUUCCUUUUCGAUUUUUUUUUAUUUUUGUUUCAAAUCUAAGGAAGGGGGAGAGGCUUACCGGAUUCCCCACGGUCGCGACGCCGGAGAAAUCGAACCCAAAAAGGGGUCGAGAGCCAUCUCUUUUUGGCUCUUCUAGUUUUGGGGAUUGGCCUUCAAUGAGGUUUAAAAAAUGGGUUAAAAACCACAAAAAUGGGUUAAAAACCCCAUUUUUGUGCAGAUCUGUGCGUUUUUAAGACCAAGUGGGCUAUUUGAGCUGCGGGUCCUUCCGCUUUGCUACUUGCUUUCAAUUCGCCCCUUUUGUUCUUUCUUUUAUGUUUUCAAUUUGACCUCAUGGUUUUUGCGUUUGUCUCAUUUUGGUCCUGCGUGGAACAGUGCACAUGAGUGCUGGGAAUAAUUUCCUCUUCAGUCCCCGCUAGUUUCUACACGUUUCAUUUUGAUCCUUGAUUAACUUUCUAGUAUUUAUAAUUUUAUACCCC
rnacentral:lncRNA from 1 species